GGAGAGAACGCUGGGUUGAAGUGGCUUAUUGGAGUCCUAGGUGGAAACUGUGGCAGAGCCCGGAGCCCUUCUUCCUUGUUCGGGCAAGGCUGUCCCAGUGCUCGGGCUGCUUUUGUGGAGGGCUGGUCCGCUCUGCCUGGGUGAGGACAGCGUCGUUAAUCUCCUGUCCUUGGCCGCUGUUACACUGUUACGCGGUGACUGGACGGAGGCCUUGCCAGGACCCAGACGUACAAAGGAGGCUGGAAAAGCCAGAGCUGUUCCUGCGGGGGACUCACCCCUGUGUCCUGUCCUUGCUGCCCGCACCCUGCUCCCUUCUUACAUCUGCCUAGCGUCCUGCAUGCCUGGCACCGACCUGAUCUUUGUCGCUGAGACGGAGCAGCUUCUCCAGGGUAACCAAGAGAAGGUAUUCUCUUCCAAUGCAGGUAUUCCCCCUCCAUCCCCGGCCUCAGACUCUUGGGCUCCCCCUUGUGGCAGGCCCUGGCCAGGCCCACUUUCCCGACCUUCCCGGAGGUCUGAUAACCUGGGAAGCCACGAACCCCCGUUUUGGAAACUGUGGCUCCUCUGACCUGCAGAUUUCGCCAUUCCUGCGGGCUCCUAAGACCACGCCCCGGGCGCCUUUGGGAGGAGCAAGGGCGGCUCCGAGGGGAAAGCAGCCAUCUAGCGACCUGUGCUCCUCUUGGCAGCUGCUUUGUUAUUAAAACCAGUCCCAAGCCAUGUUCCAACCUGAAUCAUCCCCAAACCUGGAUCAGACCCCUUGAAAGAUGAGGAGGGGUUUACAAAAGGGGUGCAUUCCACAAAGUUUGGCUCCAUUUACCCUAGGCUCAGGCUGGGUCUGACCUGAAGCGCUGUUGCUCCGGGCACUCUGCCUCUUCUUCCUCCUCUCCAGGCUUCGCCUGCUCUUUGGACCUGGAGUCGGCUUGCAAUUUGUUUCUCAAUCCUAACCCUACUUCGUCUCCAACACCUGCUCUCCCAGGAGCUAUUGUUGCGUUUUACAGAUGAGGAAACCGAGGUCCAGGGUCCAGGGUAUUAAAUGACUUGUCUGAGGCCUGAGGGCUCUUGAAGCGCUGGAGCCAGAAGGUGACCCAAAGUCAGGCUCCUUCCAUUACCAUAUGCUUCCCCCUCUUUGGUUUAACAAAAAUGACAAAGGCUUGGCCCCUGCCCUCGAGGAACUCUGGGUCGACUGGAACAGACAGGCAGGUAAACAAAUACUGAGUGCGAACAGGGCAAUAGUGAGAUAAUGGAGAUAUUUACCCAUAUCUCUGAAAAUACAAAAGAGCUAGUUAUUCAUUUUGCUUGAAGAGCUUUGGUGGUGGUAGUGAUGGUGCUGGUGGGGUGUGUGUAUGUGUAUGUGUGUCUGCGUGUGUAUGGGGUCAUAAUUUUUGCAGAGAAGGUUUUCUGAAGCAACUUUUCCAGAGGUCAGAGACUCCAGAGAGCAAGUACAAAGAUUGUGUCCCCACUCCCACAACCCUGGCCCCGGCAGGGCAGGCAUCGCUAAUCCACCUUUCCCGGUGAACCCAGGUAUGGCCUCAGAAUCCUUUACAACAAAGUAUCCAGGUGGCUAUACCUUUUAAUUGGCAGGCAAGAGAGCAUUUUUGGGUACUCCAGUGUAUUAGACAAUUUUUUUUAAAUAAAAUAUCCUAUCAGUUUUUAUAAGUUUUAGCUAUUAUUUUAUUCCUUUGUGAAGUAUUAUAUUUUUCAUGUUAUUGACCAUUGGUGUUUCAUUUUUCUUUUUUGACCACGCUGCAUCAUAAAGAGUUCCAGAGCCCGGGAUCAGAUCUGAGCCACAGUUGCAUGCCAGGGUGCAGCCAUGCCAGUUCCUUAAUCCACUGUGCCAGGUCAGGGAUUGAACCUGCGUCCUAGUGUGCCAGAGACACUGCCCAUCCCAUUGUAUCACAGCCGGAACUCCAACAUUUGUGUUUUCUAGAAGAAGAAACGGGCUUCGAGAAGAGAGUGGCUUCUCUAGAUCACUGUGGUGCAACAACACCUGAAAUCCCAUGCAGAUCUUGCUUCUCUGAGUGAUUUUUUAAAUCUUUUGUACAUUGAGGAGCCAACACUUAUUGACUUCUUGCUAGGUGCCGUGUUCUGUGACAUGCACAGGGAAUAUUUAUUCCCUGUGCUACCUCUCAUUCUCACAGCCACCUCUGAGGUAGCAAGAUCAUUCCCAUUUUACAGAAGACAAAACUGAGGCUCCGAAUUAUAACUUGCUCAAAGUCACACAGCCAGGAGGCUGUGGAAUCUAAACCUGUGUUCAGAUCUGUCUCACUCCAAAGCCUAUUUACUGUUUUCUUCUACAUUUAUUGCCAAGUGUUUGACAUUUUAGAAAAGAUUUCAGGUGGAUGAAAUGCAUACCCUUGUCACUAUUCCCCACUUAGGCCAUGAAACAAAGCCUGCUUUAUUUUUGCAGAACACCCUCCUACCCUUCAUAACACAUAAAGAGGGAGAUUUCACAAAGUAAUUGAGCACUGUUGAACAUUUCUCAACGAAACCUGCUUUUAGGGGAGUUUUAAAAUGAAUUUUCUUUAUACAUUGAAAUCAUGUCUUUGGAUAAUUCAGAGGAAAGCCGGGGAAGUCUGCAAUGCGCAGACCUGCUCGUCUGAGGAGUAAUUUAAUGCCAGUGACAUAGAUCUCUCUUUCUCUUUUUGCCUUUAAUCCAUUUUAACAAGCCAGAUGGUCAUGGCAAAUGGGUCCUCUAACAUCUCCCUUUUCUAACUCUGUUGCUCUCAGGGAUUUAUUUAAAUUUGGUUCCUGGCAACAAUCUUAUACCUUCCUAUUCUUUGCCAUUCUUUGCCGCUAUGUGGCUCCUUCCGUAACCUCCAUAACUAUUCCUUCUCCAGCCUCCCUCUUAGCAUUAACCUUUCCUUCUAUAUUCUCCCAUCUCUCCCAGCACAGGGUAACCUAGUAGAGGGUACCUAUUCCUUCCGUUAGUUAUUUCUGUGUGUGACUUCCUCCAUUAGACCCAGCCUUGCUCAUUUAUAAUCUAUGUAACAGUAAUUACCUUCACUGCAAUGCUUUAUAAUUUCCGGGUACUUUCCAAGUCAAGAUACUGUUUAAUACUGACAAUAUCUCUGGGGUAUUUUUUAAAAAAUAUGUUCAGUUUUACAGAUAUGGCCACGGAGUCUCAGAGAGGUGCGGCAACUUGCCCAAAAUCACACAGCUCGCUAGUUAUAAGGUUUAGGAGCAAAUUGAGUGUUCCGUCCCCAUAACUAUAAUAUAGAGUAUUUUCUAUAUAGUUUUAUUUAUUUUUAUUUAAAAUUCUUUUAAAUUGAAGUAUAGUUGAUUUACAAAUUUCUGCCACACAGCAAAGUGAUUCAGCUGUACAUAUAUCUAUGUACAUUCUAUUUUAUAUUCUUUUCCAUUAUCUUUUUAUCAGGAUAUUGAGUAUAGUUCCCUGUACUACACAAUAGAACUUUGUUCUGUAUCCAUUCUAGAUAUAAUAGUUUGCAUCUGCUAACCCCAGACUCCCAGUCCAUCCCCUACCCCCUGUAUAAAAUUUUGAAAACUUACUGAUUACAGUUUUAUCAGACUCUUACUUAUCAAUUCUUUUCUUCUGUAAAUAUUUAUUGAGCAUUUAUGUACCAGGAAUUGUGCUGGAUUCCAGGGAAACAUGAGCGCAUAAGACAAAAAAAGGUCUUUGUCUCAUGGGACUUAGAGUGUGGCAGAGAGAUAGUAAACAAGGAAUCAAAAUUUUAAAAACGCGGUAGGACAAAUAAUGCCUCCUUCCCUAAGGUGUCCACAUCCUCUUCCCCAAACCUGUGGAUGUUAACUUACAUGACAAAAAGAACCUGGCAGAUGUGAGGGAGUUAAGGAUUCUGAGCUGGAGGAUGAACCUGGCUUACCUGGGUGGGUGGACCCCAUGUAAUGAUAAGAUUCCUUAGGAAAGGGAGGUUGUAGGUUCAGAAUCAGAGAUGGGAGGACCAAAACAGAGGUUGGAUUGAUGCGAUUAAGGAUGGAAGAGGGCCACGAGACAAGGAAUGGGGGCCGCUUCCAGAAGCUCGAAAAGAUGAGGAAAUGAAUUUCCCUGCAGAGCUUCCAGCAGGAACACAGUCCUGCUGACGCUUAUUAAACGUCUGAUGUUCAGGACUAUAAAUAAAUAAAUCUCUGUUGCUUUAAGCCAUUAAAACUGUGGGAAUGUGUUACAGCAGGAAGAGGGAAGGAACACACAAGGUGAUCACAGAUUGUGACCAACGCUGUGAAGAAAAGAAACAGCUUGAUGCUGUAACAACUGGGGAAGGACUCUCUGGGGAGAAGAUGAGAGUGGACCAGCCCAAGGAAAAGUGUUCCAGGCAGAAGGAACAGCAGGUGCAAAGGCCCAGAGGAGGAACGUUGAUGAGGAACAAAAACACAGCUAGACGUCAGUGAAGGUUGGAGAGUUAGAGUAAGUUGGAUCCUGCCAGGCCUAUUUGGCCACAGCAGAUUUAAGAAAGAGGAAGCUCUUGAAGGAUUUUAAACACGGGGAGAGGUAAUUUGCCAUUGCGUUGUCUGAAGUUCCUUGCAGGACAAAGACCCUUCCUUGGCGGGGUGGGUACUUAAACCCAGUCAAGACCAACCCAUCCUCCAAAUUAGUCUUGUGCUCUACCAGGCUUUUAGAAUAGGUCCAAUCUUCAUCAGAAAGCAUAGGGUUUGCUUUGUGCCAACCUGGCCCUCCAGUUCUGUAGGGAGCAGGUGUUGAACCACGGGCAGCAGACAUCACUGUAGCCUUGGAUGUAGUUUAUUACAGUGCGGGAGCACUGUCCUGUGAUGUGGUGGGGGACUCAGCAUUACUGAACUUAGCAAGGCCGCUGGCCAGGGGCAGAACCUAUCAUUUGAAAUACGUAUAAUUAUUUUGCUUAUUUAUGCCUUCUGUCUUUAGACUGUGAGUGCUGAGAAGCCAAAGACCACCUGGACUUUUAUCCCUGUGUUUCCAGUGCUUGCCUGCAGCAGGUACUCCACAGACACUUGUGAAAGCGUGGAGGAUUGGAGGAAAAGGGCAGCGGUAAUUUAGCUCUGCUUUUGUAGGAAACAGAAAGGGGAAGAGGACUUGUAAGCAGUAAAAUAUAAACAUCAAAACAACCUA